UACAGAGACUGCAAGCGUUAUUCGGAUUCACUGGGCGUAAAGGGUGCGCAGGCGGCCAAGUGUGUCAGGUGUGAAAUCCCGAGGCUUAACCUCGGAACUGCGCCUGAAACUACUUGGCUAGAGUACUGGAGAGGGUAACGGAAUUCACGGUGUAGCAGUGAAAUGCGUAGAUAUCGUGAGGAACACGAGAGGCGAAGGCGGUUACCUGGACAGUUACUGACGCUCAGGCACGAAAGCGUGGGGAGCAAAAGGG
rnacentral:rRNA from 1 species